ensembl:snoRNA SNORD58 Small nucleolar RNA SNORD58
CUGCCUUUCUUAGAACAUCUUUGGAUUUACCGUGAAGAUUAAUACACUCUGAGAAGC